GAUGAACGCUAGCUACAGGCUUAACACAUGCAAGUCGAGGGGCAGCAUGGAAGAAGCUUGCUUCUUCUGAUGGCGACCGGCGCACGGGUGCGUAACGCGUAUCAAACCUGCCUCAUACUCGGGGAUAGCCUUGCGAAAGUAAGAUUAAUACCCGAUGUUGUUAUGUUUCCGCAUGGUGAUAUAACCAAAGAUUUAUCGGUAUGAGAUGGUGAUGCGUCCGAUUAGGUAGUAGGCGGGGUAACGGCCCACCUAGCCAUCGAUCGGUAGGGGUUCUGAGAGGAAGGUCCCCCACACUGGAACUGAGACACGGUCCAGACUCCUACGGGAGGCAGCAGUGAGGAAUAUUGGUCAAUGGACGCAAGUCUGAACCAGCCAAGUAGCGUGCAGGAUGACGGCCCUCCGGGUUGUAAACUGCUUUUAGUUGGGAAUAAAAAGAGGGACGUGUCCCUCAUUGUAUGUACCUUCAGAAAAAGGACCGGCUAAUUCCGUGCCAGCAGCCGCGGUAAUACGGAAGGUCCGGGCGUUAUCCGGAUUUAUUGGGUUUAAAGGGAGCGUAGGCCGUGGAUUAAGCGUGUUGUGAAAUGCAGGUGCUCAACGUCUGCACUGCAGCGCGAACUGGUCCACUUGAGUGUGCGCAACGCAGGCGGAAUUCGUCGUGUAGCGGUGAAAUGCUUAGAUAUGACGAAGAACUCCGAUUGCGAAGGCAGCUUGCGGGAGCACAACUGACGCUGAAGCUCGAAAGUGCGGGUAUCGAACAGG
rnacentral:rRNA from 1 species